rnacentral:rRNA from 1 species
UACGUAGGGUGCGAGCGUUAAUCGGAAUUACUGGGCGUAAAGGGUGCGCAGGCGGCUUCGCAAGUCAGACGUGAAAUCCCCGAGCUUAACUUGGGAAUUGCGUUUGAAACUACGGAGCUGGAGUGUGGCAGAGGGAGGUGGAAUUCCACGUGUAGCGGUGAAAUGCGUAGAUAUGUGGAGGAACACCGAUGGCGAAGGCAGCCUCCUGGGCCAACACUGACGCUCAUGCACGAAAGCGUGGGGAGCAAACAGG